CUGGCCAGUAGAAGGACCCUGGUGAUGUCACAGAUCAUGUGACUGUUUGGUCACAUGGUACAGAGAAGUACAGGAAGUGAUCACAAGCCAUGCGGCUGCUCUGCUAAACAAGAUGUGUGAACAGACUUUUCUCUGCUUCAUAUCUCUGCUAAAGAGUAGGAGUGUCUGUGGUUGUAUAUGGAAGUGAUCACAACCCAACCUAUGCGGCUGCUCUGCUAAACAGGGGAGCUGAUGUGGAGGAAGUAAACUUCAGCUACAGUGGCAGAUGAGAAUAAAAAAUUG